GACCUCAGAUCAGACAAGGCUACCCGCUGAAUUUAAGCAUAUUAUAAA
rnacentral:rRNA from 1 species